rnacentral:rRNA from 1 species
AUUGAACGCUGGCGGCAGGCCUAACACAUGCAAGUCGAGCGAGCGGCGGCCGGGUGAGUCAUGUCUGGGAAACUGCCUGAUGGAGGGGGAUAACUACUGGAAACGGUAGCUAAUACCGCAUACCAUCAGACGUGACCAGAUGGGAUUAGCUAUUAGGUGGGGUAAUGGCUCACCUAGGCGACGAUCCCUAGCUGUUCUGAGAGGUUGACCAGCGACACUGGAACGGAGACACGGGCCAUCCUCCUACGGGAGGCAGCAGUGGGGAAUAUUGCACAAGGGGGGCAAGCCGGAUGCAGCCAUGCCGCUAGUGGGAAGAAGGCCUUCGGGUUGGAAAGCACUUUCAGCGGGGAGGCGUUACCCGCAGAAGAAGAACCGGCUAACGCCGUGCGAGCAGCCGCGGUAAUAC